rnacentral:rRNA from 1 species
GAUGAACGCUGGCGGCGUGCCUAAUACAUGCAAGUCGAGCGAACGGACGAGAAGCUUGCUUCUCUGAUGUUAGCGGCGGACGGGUGAGUAACACGUGGAUAACCUACCUAUAAGACUGGGAUAACUUCGGGAAACCGGAGCUAAUACCGGAUAAUAUUUUGAACCGCAUGGUUCCAAAGUAAAAGACGGUCUUGCUGUCACUUAUAGAUGGAUCCGCGCUGCAUUAGCUAGUUGGUAAGGUAACGGGUUACCAAGGCAACGAUGCAUAGCCGACCUGAGAGGGUGAUCGGCCACACUGGAACUGAGACAGGGUCCAGACUCCGACGGGAGGCAGCAGUAGGGAAUCUUCCGCAAUGGGCGAAAGCCUGACGGAGCAACGCCGCGUGAGUGAUGAAGGUCUUCGGAUCGUAAAACUCUGUUAUUAGGGAAGAACAUAUGUGUAAGUAACUGUGCACAUCUUGACGGUACCUAAUCAGAAAGCCACGGCUAACUACGUG